rnacentral:rRNA from 1 species
CCUACGGGAGGCAGCAGUAGGGAAUAUUGCUCAAUGGGGGAAACCCUGAAGCAGCAACGCCGCGUGGAGGAUGAAGGUUUUCGGAUUGUAAACUCCUUUUGUUAGAGAAGAUAAUGACGGUAUCUAACGAAUAAGCACCGGCUAACUUCGUGCCAGCAGCCGCGGUAAUACGGAGGGUGCAAGCGUUACUCGGAUUCACUGGGCGUAAAGAGAGCGUAGGCGGGAUAGCAAGUCAGAUGUGAAAUCCUAUGGCUUAACCGUAGAACUGAAUUUGAAACUGUUAUGCUAGAGUAUGGGAGAGGUAGGUGGAAUUCUUGGUGUAGGGGUAAAAUCCGUAGAGAUCAAGAGGAAUACUCAUUGCGAAGGCGACCUGCUAGAACGUAACUGACGCUGAUGCUCGAAAGCGUGGGGAGCAAACAGGAUUAGAUACCCGAGUAGUC